rnacentral:rRNA from 1 species
UAGGGAAUCUUCCACAAUGGGCGAAAGCCUGAUGGAGCAACGCCGCGUGUGUGAUGAAGGGUUUCGGCUCGUAAAACACUGUUGUAAGAGAAGAAUGACAUUGAGGGUAACUGUUCAAUGUGUGACGGUAUCUUACCAGAAAGGAACGGCUAAAUACGUGCCGG